GGAGCUGAUCUGUUCCUGAUCUCUAAAGAGACUCAAACUUCCUCCUUCAGUUCAAUUCAACUCUCCAACAUUAACUCUGCUCAACAUGGACUAUUAUGGUCUGUCUCUGCUCAUCAUCUCUCUGCUAACAGGUGUUGAGUCUCAACAACUAUCUCCUCUGAUGGCAGAAAACUUCAUUUCAGAGGGCGGCUCCGUUUCUCUGACCUACACAUUUUCUAAAGAAGCAACUGGAAGCGAUGAGUUCUACUGGUAUCGCCAACAUCCAGGAAAACCUCCAGAGUUCCUGCUCUACCACCUAGGAUCAGGAAAAAUACUGUCGGAGCAAACUGCUGGACGGGAGAUCGAUGUGAAGGGAAGAGACAUAAAGCUGCUGAUCUCCUCUGCUGCAGUGACAGACUCUGCUGUGUACUACUGCGCUGUGAGGCCCACAGUGACAGGAAACACCAGAACCCUGUACAAAAACCUGCAGUACUCCACAGCAGCCACUAGAGGGCCUCACUCCCUGCUCUUCAACGGUUUGUCAAGAUUCAGACUGAUGUGAUCAAACCUGAACAAGAAAUACAAGUAAUAAAAAACUAGUAACAGGGACGGUGGGUUAAACCUACUGCUGCUCUGUGGCGCUCAGAGAACAGGAAGAACCCAGAACAGUUAAAUAAUUGUGAUUAAUUCACAAACAUCCUGAAGCCCCAACCAGAUUUUUUAAACUAAUUUGACAGCGCUAAUUAUUAAUGUUGCUGGGUUUUUUUUGUAUUAAUAUUUGUUUGGUCGUUUUUACUCUGGACAUUUA